rnacentral:rRNA from 1 species
CGUGUAGGCGGCCAAACAGGUCCGUUGUGAAAACUGGAGGCUUAACCUUCAGACGUCGACGGAAACCGUGUGGCUAGAGUCCGGAAGAGGAGAGCGGAAUUCCUGGUGUAGCGGUGAAAUGCGCAGAUAUCAGGAAGAACACCAAUGGCGAAGGCAGCUCUCUGGGACGGUACUGACGCUGAGACGCGAAAGCGUGGGAGCGAACA